GGUGAGAUGGCCGAGCGGUCUAAGGCGCCAGACUAAGGUACAUGAUUAUCUAAUCUGGUCCGAAAGGGCGUGGGUUCGAAUCCCACUCUCAUCA